rnacentral:lncRNA from 1 species
UCUAAAACGGCGCCGUUUAAAAGGGUUAAAUUGAAAUUUAAAAUAAAUUAAAGGACGAAUUUAAAAAACAAGCGCAAUUUGCCCCUCCGCAUGAAAAACACGCGGAUCCUAGGCCGGGUCGGGUUGGAUUCGAGUUAACCCAGGUUCAAAACGACACCGUUUUGAAGGGCUAUUUAAGCCACUUACCCUUCCCAAAAUUUCAUUCUAAGCCUCCUUUCAAAAAACAAAAAAAAAAACUACAAAAAGCUUUCCACGCUCCUUAGACGUCCGAC